UACGAAGGGGGCUAGCGUUGCUCGGAUUGACUGGGCGUAAAGGGCGCGUAGGCGGUUCGUACAGUCAGACGUGAAAUUCCUGGGCUCAACCUGGGGGGCUGCGUUUGAUACGUGCGGACUUGAGUGCGGAAGAGGGUCGUGGAAUUCCCAGUGUAGAGGUGAAAUUCGUAGAUAUUGGGAAGAACACCGGUGGCGAAGGCGGCGACCUGGUCCGAUACUGACGCUGAGGAGCGAAAGCGUGGGGAGCAAACAGG
rnacentral:rRNA from 1 species